GUGCUCUGAAUGUCAAAGUGAAGAAAUUC
rnacentral:piRNA from 6 species